UAGCCUAGUGGUAAAAGCUAUGGAUCGCCAAUCCGGAGACGGCGGGUUCGAUUCCCGU
rnacentral:tRNA from 1 species